CCAUGGGAGUCGGGGGCGCCCGAAGGCGCGGGCAGCGCUGAAGGCGAACCUGGCGACUGGGGUGAAGUCGUAACAAGGUAUCCGUACCGGAAGGUGCGGAUGGAUCACCUCCUUUCUAGGAGC
rnacentral:rRNA from 1 species